GAAAUGCGAUAAGCAAUGCGAAUUGCAGAAUUCCGCGAGUCAUCAGAUUUUUGAACGCAGCCCGCGCCGGAGAGAUAUCUCCUCGGCAUGUUUAUUUCAGUGUGUUUGGUUGACCUCACAAAACUUAAUGCGAUUGACGCUGUCUCUCCACUUCACGGUGGUUGAUAGUUUCUCUCGUGAAAAACGAGGGCGCGGACUUGUCCGCCAACGAUGUGGCCACUGUCUAACAGUGUUUUCGUUGGAGCAACGGACCUGUCAUUUAAUUUAAUGCGUCUUAAUAUCUAAAAAAAACAUCUUCAAUCUGCACCUGAAAUUAAGCAAGGACACCCGCUGAACUUAA
rnacentral:misc_RNA from 1 species